UCUGUAAUCUGAAGGGAUGAAGGCUGGGAGGGACCACAACCACUCACGAACACUGCACUCCUCAAGUUGGCUACUUCACAUUUAACAUCAGUGCUAUCCGGUCAUGAAGCAGUACAAAAAAGGGUUAGGUUGGAUAUUAGGAGGACGUUUUUCCCCCAGAGGGUGGUGAGGCACUGGAACAGGUUGCCCAAGGAGGCUGUGGAUGCCCCAUCCCUGCAGGCAUUCAAGGCCAGGCUGGAUGUGGCUCUGGGCAGCCUGGGCUGCUGGUUGGUGACCUGCACACAGCAGGGGGUUGGAACUGGAUGAGCACUGUGCUCCUUUGCAACCCAGGCCAUUCUGUGAUUCUAUGAA